rnacentral:rRNA from 1 species
UUAAGCGACUAAGCGUACACGGUGGAUGCCCUGGCAGUCAGAGGCGAUGAAGGACGUGCUAAUCUGCGAAAAGCGUCGGUAAGGUGAUAUGAACCGUUACAGCCGGCGAUGUCCGAAUGGGGAAACCCAGUGUGAUUCGUCACACUAUCGUUAACUGAAUACAUAGGUUAACGAGGCGAACCGGGGGAACUGAAACAUCUAAGUACCCCGAGGAAAAGAAAUCAACCGAGAUUCCCCCAGUAGCGGCGAGCGAACGGGGAGCAGCCCAGAGUCUGAAUCAGCUUGUGUGUUAGUGGAACGGUCUGGAAAGUCCGACGGUACAGGGUGAUAGUCCCGUACACCAAAAUGCACAGGCUGUGAACUCGAAGAGUAGGGCGGGACACGUGGUAUCCUGUCUGAAUAUGGGGGGACCAUCCUCCAAGGCUAAAUACUCCUGACUGACCGAUAGUGAACCAGUACCGUGAGGGAAAGGCGAAAAGAACCCCGGCGAGGGGAGUGAAAAAGAACCUGAAACCGUGUACGUACAAGCAGUGGGAGCACCUUCGGGUGUGACUGCGUACCUUUUGUAUAAUGGGUCAGCGACUUAUAUUCUGUAGCAAGGUUAACCGUAUAGGGGAGCCGCAGGGAAACCGAGUCUUAACUGGGCGUUAAGUUGCAGGGUAUAGACCCGAAACCCGGUGAUCUAGCCAUGGGCAGGUUGAAGGUUGGGUAACACUAACUGGAGGACCGAACCGACUAAUGUUGAAAAAUUAGCGGAUGACUUGUGGCUGGGGGUGAAAGGCCAAUCAAACCGGGAGAUAGCUGGUUCUCCCCGAAAGCUAUUUAGGUAGCGCCUCGUGAACUCAUCUUCGGGGGUAGAGCACUGUUUCGGCUAGGGGGUCAUCCCGACUUACCAACCCGAUGCAAACUACGAAUACCGAAGAAUGUUAUCACGGGAGACACACGGCGGGUGCUAACGUCCGUCGUGAAGAGGGAAACAACCCAGACCGCCAGCUAAGGUCCCAAAGUCAUGGUUAAGUGGGAAACGAUGUGGGAAGGCACAGACAGCCAGGAUGUUGGCUUAGAAGCAGCCAUCAUUUAAAGAAAGCGUAAUAGCUCACUGGUCGAGUCGGCCUGCGCGGAAGAUGUAACGGGGCUAAACCAUGCACCGAAGCUGCGGCAGCGACACUAUGUGUUGUUGGGUAGGGGAGCGUUCUGUAAGCCUGCGAAGGUGACCUGUGAGGGUUGCUGGAGGUAUCAGAAGUGCGAAUGCUGACAUAAGUAACGAUAAAGCGGGUGAAAAGCCCGCUCGCCGGAAGACCAAGGGUUCCUGUCCAACGUUAAUCGGGGCAGGGUGAGUCGACCCCUAAGGCGAGGCCGAAAGGCGUAGUCGAUGGGAAACAGGUUAAUAUUCCUGUACUUGGUGUUACUGCGAAGGGGGGACGGAGAAGGCUAUGUUAGCCGGGCGACGGUUGUCCCGGUUUAAGCAUGUAGGCUGAUUAUCCAGGCAAAUCCGGAUAAUCAAGGCUGAGGUGUGAUGACGAGGCACUACGGUGCUGAAGUAACAAAUGCCCUGCUUCCAGGAAAAGCCUCUAAGCAUCAGGUAACAUCAAAUCGUACCCCAAACCGACACAGGUGGUCAGGUAGAGAAUACCAAGGCGCUUGAGAGAACUCGGGUGAAGGAACUAGGCAAAAUGGUGCCGUAACUUCGGGAGAAGGCACGCUGGUGUGUAGGUGAAGCCCCUGCGGGUGGAGCUGAGACCAGUCGAAGAUACCAGCUGGCUGCAACUGUUUAUUAAAAACACAGCACUGUGCAAACACGAAAGUGGACGUAUACGGUGUGACGCCUGCCCGGUGCCGGAAGGUUAAUUGAUGGGGUUAUCCGUAAGGAGAAGCUCUUGAUCGAAGCCCCGGUAAACGGCGGCCGUAACUAUAACGGUCCUAAGGUAGCGAAAUUCCUUGUCGGGUAAGUUCCGACCUGCACGAAUGGCGUAAUGAUGGCCAGGCUGUCUCCACCCGAGACUCAGUGAAAUUGAACUCGCUGUGAAGAUGCAGUGUACCCGCGGCAAGACGGAAAGACCCCGUGAACCUUUACUAUAGCUUGACACUGAACAUUGAGCCUUGAUGUGUAGGAUAGGUGGGAGGCUUUGAAGCGUGGACGCCAGUCUGCGUGGAGCCAACCUUGAAAUACCACCCUUUAAUGUUUGAUGUUCUAACGUUGGCCCCUUAUCGGGGUUGCGGACAGUGUCUGGUGGGUAGUUUGACUGGGGCGGUCUCCUCCCAAAGCGUAACGGAGGAGCACGAAGGUUAGCUAAUCCUGGUCGGACAUCAGGAGGUUAGUGCAAUGGCAUAAGCUAGCUUGACUGCGAGCGUGACGGCGCGAGCAGGUGCGAAAGCAGGUCAUAGUGAUCCGGUGGUUCUGAAUGGAAGGGCCAUCGCUCAACGGAUAAAAGGUACUCCGGGGAUAACAGGCUGAUACCGCCCAAGAGUUCAUAUCGACGGCGGUGUUUGGCACCUCGAUGUCGGCUCAUCACAUCCUGGGGCUGAAGUAGGUCCCAAGGGUAUGGCUGUUCGCCAUUUAAAGUGGUACGCGAGCUGGGUUUAGAACGUCGUGAGACAGUUCGGUCCCUAUCUGCCGUGGGCGCUGGAGAAUUGAGGGGGGCUGCUCCUAGUACGAGAGGACCGGAGUGGACGCAUCACUGGUGUUCGGGUUGUCAUGCCAAUGGCACUGCCCGGUAGCUAAAUGCGGAAGAGAUAAGUGCUGAAAGCAUCUAAGCACGAAACUUGCCCCGAGAUGAGUUCUCCCUGAGACUUUAAGUCUCCUGAAGGAACGUUGAAGACGAUGACGUUGAUAGGCCGGGUGUGUAAGCGCAGCGAUGCGUUGAGCUAACCGGUACUAAUGAACCGUGAGGCUUAACCU